CUGGAAUGGUACGCUUUCCAACGGCCAAAGAGAGUUGGAAAGCUUGUGUCUUUGUGGGUAACCUGAACAUUUGGGCUCAUGCAAAAUCGCACCGAUUUUGGGAUUUCCCCACAACUUUUUGCGUCCGCAAAAAUGUUGUGCUGGACCGCAUUCCUGUCACUUCGCAGUGGCUUUUCGUUGGUGCAGUUUGUAUUUUGGAGUUCUAUGACAUUUUGGGUCUGACAUGAUCAUGGAAGAGUGCUCUUUCGACGAGAACAGGGCUUCAACUGUAGCUUUACAGCAGGAAAGAAAAUCGAUGCUGGUGGUCAGAGGGAAGACGUGAUUGAACGAUUUCUUGGCUGUUUUAUGUUGGCAAGUCAAAUAUUCACCCUGCCGGGGCGUAGGCAGGUUAGUUUUUCUUCAGCUUCGGCCGUUUUUACCUCUGCUGCUGAACAGCUAGAUCCCUGGACGUCAACUGCCGGCCAAGCAUGUCAUUGUUACGUACGGCCGGCCUGCUGCGAGUGUUCAUCCAAAUAAUAGUGUGAUCUACAGCGGGGCUGCCAAGUUUGUCCAUUGAUGCUGUCCAGCCAACUUUGUUGCUGCGUCUUAUCAGCCAAAUCCAGUGUCAUCUGCUGCGAAUAUGCCAAAUUUGGCCAUUGCUACUACUUCUAGUCCGUCACAUACAGUAUUAUCUGCGGAGAAUCUGCCAAAUGAUUCGUCCAGUGCAGCUGGUCAGCCAACCAUUGUGGCAUCUGCUGCAGGCCUGGUGAAUGUUGCUGUUUGUCAGUCAACAUGUAAAACCAUCGACCAUGUAUAAGUAAUCACUCGUACAUUGUUCACAAUGCAGUAUGUUGCUGGGCACCCAUAUUCGCCCUUCACAGCCAGUCAGCCACUAAUUUUCCUGCUGGUGGUCAUCCGUAUAUGCCAGCUUUGUCGGUCGGUCGGUACCCGUAUGUCGCGUACUGCAUUCAGUUGCGCAUGUUGCCAGCUGCAACUAGCCAGCGAGUUAUCUCACAUCACGGUAAUAAUGGAUGUACCUCACAGUGCUGCCCCUGCAUGGGCUCUUUGGCCGCGUGAAUGAGUGGAGAGAUUUUCACAAAAGGUUCCGGGGUUCCAGUAAGUAGCGGCAACACCCCGACCGCUCAGCAAGCAACUUCUGCACAAGCAGCAAGAUGUUCGGGCGUAGUGUGAGAGCCGGCGUCAAUCUAAGUCUGGAGGCCGUGGAGAAUGAUCAAACCAUGAUGGCAGAGAUGCUGCAAUAUUUGAGUGGCGCGGAAGUGGAUGGAUUUGAUGUGGCCGCCUCCUAUUCUCAGUAGCGGUAUUGCAGCAGAGGAGGCUAGCCGAGUUCUUGGCAGCCACCAAGAAAAAGCUGGAAUCGCCCACAGCGGCAAUCUGACAAGUGAGAUGCUUUACAGCCACACCUGUGCCGAGGGCAUAUAAAUCCCCUCAGAUACCACCUGGGCUGAAUUAUCCAUCAGGUGGAGGCGUUGGGCACGGAAGUGACAUAUCUUGUCUUAAUCUUGCGCUCAGUUGUGUGGCUAUCGCAGUGGUCUGAAGAGCACUAAGAUGCCUGGGUUCAGGGGGGCCAUUUGGUACCUACCGAGUCAAUGCCCUGACCGUACAGUAUGGACUGUGGCCUAUAUACAGACAUUUUGGCAUGAUCACAUCAGCAGCUGGGCCAGCCAUUGUAUGGCGAGACACAUGCUUGGCACUUACCAUGGCCUUUACAUCUCUAUGACGUAUACCAGGGCCGAGAGCUGUUUUCUAUAGAUGCUGCGUGAGUAGGAUGUUAAUGAGAGUGUUGUUCAGGAACAUGGAUAGUGCAGUCUGCCUUACUGGACGAAUCCAAACCUCGUAUUGGCAAAUAUUGGGAAUCUAUGCAAGCGCUAUGCAGGCGAAUCGGAUGACACAAUUUGACAGGUAACACAGAGUAUAUGGCAAGGCAUGUACCCAGGGCUAUCCUUUUCUGUCGCCAUUGCCGAGCCACCGUGCUCACAGCAGAGACUUCUGUGUGUGUUAUUGUUGUGAAGUGGACCACAAAGACGGUACGCUUUCCAACGGCCAAAGAGAGUUGGAAAGCUUGUGUCUUUGUGGGUAACCUGAACAUUUGGGCUCAUGCAAAAUCGCACCGAUUUUGGGAUUUCCCCACAACUUUUUGCGUCCGCAAAAAUGUUGUGCUGGACCGCAUUCCUGUCACUUCGCAGUGGCUUUUCGUUGGUGCAGUUUGUAUCCCACCCUCCCACCCCUGACUUCUGGGUGUGUGUUUAUCGAUGUUUUAUCGUAUUGGUUUUUCUUAUUGGCCAUGUGGCUUUUGCAGUUACGACUGCUUUUCUUUUUUAGUUAAAAAACUUAGGGGUGGUGUGUGCGUCGUGGGCCAUUGUAUGGUUACAUACAGCUUCAGAUUGUAUGGCUAGUGACAGGGGGGUUGAGUCUGCAGGGGAAGAAUACAGUGAUUGAACUGAAGCUGGAUGAUGACCGUGUGGUGAGUGUGUGGGGGGUUCGAGAUGCCGUCCUGGGGCAGGGAUGUCGGUCCUUUAUCUUGGACGGGUGUUGUUACAUUCAUUGUAACAUUUUGUCGUUUUCUGUGUGUUUUGCUGUGCGACUAUAGUAGCAGCAGUGUCUUGUGCUAAUUUUUCUUAUGAUAUCAGGCCCUAUGGGUACAAUUAUUCAAAAAAAAGAAAAGAAAAAAAAAAAUAUCAGGAAGGAGAUAUAAUAAUAUCAAUAAUAAAGCCAUUGCCGAGCCACCGUGCUCACAGCAGA